rnacentral:rRNA from 1 species
UACAGAGGGUGCAAGCGUUAAUCGGAAUUACUGGGCGUAAAGCGUGCGUAGUCGGUUAUUUAAGUCGGAUGUGAAAUCCCCGGGCUCAACCUGGGAAUUGCAUUCGAUACUGGAUAGCUAGAGUUCGGCAGAGGGAAGCGGAAUUUCUGGUGUAGCGGUGAAAUGCGUAGAUAUCAGGAAGAACACCAAUGGCGAAGGCAGCUCUCUGGGACGGUACUGACGCUGAGACGCGAAAGCGUGGGGAGCAAACAGG